UUUAAGUGCAACCAUGAGUUUUUCACGCCCAAUUUUAAUCGUUCGUCUUAUUUAAAAAAAUUAUAAUUAAUAUUUUUGUUGUUAUGAGAUGAUAAAAUAUGAAUAAUACUUUACUCGUGAAUUAUGUCAGGGUUACGGGUAAGGUAUACCCUCCACCCUUCGAUAUACGUCACAUAUCGAUAUGGUAUACUUGCAUGCAUACGGACGUUUUCGGCAUAAGUUAAGGAAACUCAUUAU
rnacentral:pre_miRNA from 1 species